UAAAAAUUUAAGACUGGAAACCUAAAAUCUUUUAUAAAACCGCUGAAGCCGUAAACAAACUAAUUGCUAUGAACCACCCAGAACAGAGAGACAAACAUAGGGAACCUGAAAAUGUACCAAUAUAGGAUAAAAUAUCAUAAUGCCUAAGGACAAGGUGGAUGUAAAAAUAUGACGGAUUGAGGGAUAGAGAGAGUGAAAUUUAAAAAACAACUUAAGUUAAUGUAGACAAAUAUCUUUACAUAGAUAUAAACUAUUAAUGAAUAAAUAGUCGCAAGGACAUUUAAUUAAACAUGCUGCUUUCAAAACUGGAGUCAAAUUGAAAUCUUUCUAUUUUAUCAAUACAUUAAAUUAUUACACUCAUCAAUAGGAUAGAAUCGAUUAACUUGUAAGAAAUCAAUGUGAUAUAGCAAUGCUAUAGAUCGUGAAUUUCAUUAGCCCACGAAAAUCUGAAAGAUUUAUUAUAAGCGAUGCUGUCCAAAGAUAUUGGCGAUAAACUACAGAUUAUCAGCUUAUACCUGAAAGAUAUAUAUGCAUAC